rnacentral:misc_RNA from 1 species
UACGGAGGAUCCAAGCGUUAUCCGGAUUCAUUGGGUUUAAAGGGUGCGUAGGCGGACUAAUAAGUCAGUGGUGAAAUCUUACAGCUUAACUGUAAAAUUGCCGUUGAUACUGUUAGUCUUGAAUGUAGUCGAGGUGGAUGGAAUGUAUCAUGUAGCGGUGAAAUGCUUAGAUAUGAUACAGAACACCAAUUGCGUAGGCAGUUCACCAGACUAUUAUUGACGCUGAGGCACGAAAGCAUGGGGAGCAAACAGG